rnacentral:rRNA from 1 species
GACGAACGCUGGCGGCGUGCUUAACACAUGCAAGUCGAACGGAAAGGCCCUGCUUUUGUGGGGUGCUCGAGUGGCGAACGGGUGAGUAACACGUGAGUAACCUGCCCUUGACUUUCGUAUAACUUCAGGAAACUGGGGCUAAUACCGUAUAGGAUCUCCUGCUCCAUGGUGGGGGUUGGAAAUUUUAGGCGGUUGGGGAUGGACUCGCGGCUUAUCGGCUUGUUGGUUGGGGAGGGGCUUACCAAGGCUUUGACGGGUCGCCGGCCUGAGAGGGUGAACGGCCACAUUGGGACUGAGAGACGGCCCAGAGUGGUACGGGGGGCAGCAGUGGGGAAUAUUGUCCAAUGGGCGGAAGCCUGAGGAAGAAACGCUGCGGGCGGGAUGACGGCCUUCGGGUUGUAAAAAGCUUUAGCCUGUGACGAAGCGUGAGUGACGGUAAUGAGUAAAGAAGCACCGGCUAACUACGUG